rnacentral:lncRNA from 1 species
AGGCGUUUACCCUUAUGCUGUGCUUGUGAUGAUGAGUGAGUUCUCAGAAGGUCUGAUGGUUUUAUAUGGGGCUUUUCCCCUCUUGCACUUUCUUCUCUCUCCUGCCACGAUGUGAUGAAGGACAUAUUUGCUUCCCCUUCCACCUUGAUUGUGUUUCCUGAGGCCUCCGCAGCCUUGCAGAAUGGGGCUAGAAGUAUGAGUACUAUAUUGAAUAAAUGGCGACAGCAGAAAUCAUUGUCUUCUUCCUACUCUUGAGUGAAAACAGCCAGUCUGUCACUACUAAAUAUGAUGCUAGCUGAAGGGAUUUUAUAGA